GACGUAGGUGGCGAACGUUAUCCGGAAUCAUUGGGCGUAAAGGGUGCGUAGACGGCAUGAUAAGUUAUUAGUGGGAAAUCGAGGCCCAACCUCGUGGAAGCUAGUAAUACUGUUUUGCUUGAGUACAGAAGAGGUUAAUGGAAUUCCAUGUGGAGCGGUAAAAUGUGUAGAUAUAUGGAGGAAUACCGGUGGCGAAAGCGGCUCUCUGGAACGGUACUGACGCUGAGACGCGAAAGCGUGGGGAGCGAACAGG
rnacentral:rRNA from 1 species